ensembl:lncRNA
AGCAAAUUCAUAUUUAAAUGCUAUGACAAAUAUGAACACUACCACAAUUUAAUGAUUUCCCUUUAUAUUAAUUGAUGAAUACAAUUAUCUUAAAAUGUAUUCCAAUAAUGGCCCAAAAUCUAAAUAAAAACUCAAGAAUAACUACGUACCUGAAACCUAGAACCUCUGUGCGAUUAAAACUGGAUCCAUAUUUGUUUCGAUAAACUGUGUCCAGCUGUAAAAGUAAUAUAAGCAAUUUUAGCAAUUUAUCUUGAGAACUGAAAUGUUGACAAACAAUUUGAGGGAACGUGUUUGACAUAAUGACAAAUAUAAAAACUUAUUUGGGGGAUGAAAUGCCCCUUUAAGAACCUGACAGCUGUACAACUGAAGAUGAACAGUAUUAUUAAAAGAGUGGAAAGUAAAACAGAAUUUACCGCUGUAGCCACAGUACUUGCUAAUGCUUUGAACGCUGGUGAAGAAACAUUUUUCAAAUCUGCUUUGAAGUUUUGCUCCAAUUUGAAGUCCAACUUAACCUCUGGUGGUGGAGGGGCAGGUGUUCUGAUAGUAGUUGAGGAACCAGUUGUAACUGUGGUCAGAGCAACUGUGGUUGUUGUUGGAGUAGCUGUGGUUGUUUUGGGAGGAGCUGUGGUUCUUGUGGGAGCAGCUGUGGUUGUUGUGGGAGCAACUGUGGUUGUUGUGGGAGCAACUGUGGUUGUUGUGGGAGCAACUGUGGUUGUUGUGAGACCAGCUGUGGUUGUUAUUGGAGCAGCUAUGGUUGUUGUUGGAGUAGUUGUGGUUGUUGUAGGAACAGCUAAGGUAGUUGUGGGAGCAGCUGUGGUUGUUGUUGGAGCAGCUGUUGUUGUUAUGAGGGAACCUGUGGUUGUUGUGGGGGCAGCUGUGGUUGUUGUUGGAGCAGCUGUGGUUGUUGUUAGAGCACCUGUGGUUGCUGUUGGAGCAGCUGUUGUUGUUGGAGCAGCUGUGGUUGUUGUUGGACCAGCUGUGGUUGUUGUGAGACCAGCUGUGGUUGUUGUGGGAGCAACUGUGGUUGUUGUGGGAGCAACUGUGGUUGUUGUGGGAGCAACUGUGGUUGUUGUGGGAGCAACUGUGGUUGUUGUGAGACCAGCUGUGGUUGGUGUGAGACCAGCUGUGGUUGGUGUGAGACCAGCUGUGGUUGUUGUGAGACCAGCUGUGGUUGUUGUUGGAGCAGCUAUGGUUGUUAUUGGAGCAGCUGUGGUUGUUGUUGGAGUAGUUAUGGUUGUUGUAGGAAUAGCUGUGGUAGUUGUGGGAGCAGCUGUGGUUGUUGUGGGAGCAAGUGUGGUUGUUGUGGGAGCAAAUGUGUUUGUUGUUAGACCAGCUGUGGUUGUUAGGGGAGCAGCUGUGGUUGUUGCGGGAGCAGCUGUGGUUGUUGUGGGAGCAGCUGUGGUUGUUGUUGGAGCAGUUAUGGUUGUUGUAGCUGCAGCUGUUGUCGUCGUAGCAGCAGCUGAAGUUGCUAUGAGGGAACCUGUGGUUGUUGUUAGAGCAGCUGAGGUUGUUGUUAGAGCAGCUGUGGUUGUUGUUGGAGCAGCUGUGGUUGUUGUUGGAGCAGCUGUGGUUGUUGUUGGAGCAGCUGUGGUUGUUGUUGGAGCAGCUGUGGUUGUUGUUGGAGCAGCUGUGGUUGUUGUUGGAGCAGCUGUGGUUGUUGUAAGAGCAGCUAUGGUUGUUAUUGGAGCAGCUGUGGUUGUUGUUGGAGUAGUUAUGGUUGUUGUAGGAACAGCUAAGGUAGUUGUGGGAGCAGCUGUGGUUGUUGUGGGAGCAACUGUGGUUGUUGUGGGAGCAACUGUGGUUGUUGUGAGACCAGCGGUGGUUGUUAGGGGAGCAGCUGUGGUUGUUGUUGGAGCAGCUGUGGUUGUUGUUAGAGCAGCUGUGGUUGUUGUUAGAGCAGCUGUGGUUGUUGUUGGAGCAGCUGUGGUUGUUGUUGGAGCAGCUGGUGUUGUUGUUGGACCAGCUGUGGUUGUUGUGGGAGCAACUGUGGUUGUUGUGGGAGCAACUGUGGUUGUUGUGGGAGCAACUGUGGUUGUGAGACCAGCUGUGGUUGUUGUGAGACCAGCUGUGGUUGUUGUGAGACCAGCUGUGGUUGUUGUGAGACCAGCUGUGGUUGUUGUUGGAGCAGCUGUGGUUGUUGUUGGAGCAGCUGUGGUUGUUGUUGGAGCAGCUGUGGUUGUUGUAAGAGCAGCUAUGGUUGUUAUUGGAGCAGCUGUGGUUGUUGUUGGAGUAGUUAUGGUUGUUGUAGGAAUAGCUGUGGUAGUUGUGGGAGCAGCUGUGGUUGUUGUGGGAGCAGCUGUGGUUGUUGCGGGAAAAACUGUUGUUGUUGUGGGAGCAAAUGUGUUUGUUGUUAGACCAGCUGUGGUUGUUAGGGGAGCAGCUGUGGUUGUUGCGGGAGCAGCUGUGGUUGUUGUGGGAGCAGCUGUGGUUGUUGUGGGAGCAACUGUGGUUGUUGUGGGAGCAACUGUGGUUGUUAUGAGACCAGUGGUGGUUGUUGGGGAGCAGCUGUGGUUGUUGUUGUAGCAGUUAUGGUUGUUGUAGCUGCAGCUGUUGUAGUCUUAGCAGCAGCUGAGGUUAUUAUGAGGGAACCUGUGGUUGUUGUGGGGGCAGCUGUGGUUGUUGUUAGAGCAGCUGUGGUUGUUGUUAGAGCUGCUGUUGUUGUUGGGGAUUAGCUGUGGUUGUUGUUGGAGCAGCUGUGGUUGUUGUUAGAGCAGCUGUGGUUGUUGUUAGAGCAGCUGUGGUUGUUGUUGGAGCAGCUGUGGUUGUUGUUGGAGCAGCUGUGUUGUUGUUGGACCAGCUGUGGUUGUUGUGGGAGCAACUGUGGUUGUUGUGGGAGCAACUGUGGUUGUUGUGGGAGCAACUGUGGUUGUGGACCAGCUGUGGUUGUUGUGAGACCAGCUGUGGUUGUUGUGAGGCCAGCUGUGGUUGUUGUGAGACCAGCUGUGGUUGUUGUUGGAGCAGCUGUGGUUGUUGUUGGAGCAGCUGUGGUUGUUGUUGGAGCAGCUGUGGUUGUUGUAAGAGCAGCUAUGGUUGUUAUUGGAGCAGCUGUGGUUGUUGUUGGAGUAGUUAUGGUUGUUGUAGGAAUAGCUGUGGUAGUUGUGGGAGCAGCUGUGGUUGUUGUGGGAGCAGCUGUGGUUGUUGUGGGAGCAACUGUGGUUGUUGUGGGAGCAAAUGUGUUUGUUGUUAGACCAGCUGUGGUUGUUGUGGGAGCAGCUGUGGUUGUUGUGGGAGCAGUUGUGGUUGUUGUGGGAGCAGCUGUGGUUGUUGUGGGAGCAACUGUGGUUGUUAUGAGACCAGCGGUGGUUGUUAGGGGAGCAGCUGUGGUUGUUGUUGGAGCAGUUAUGGUUGUUGUAGCUGCAGCUGUUGUCGUCGUAGCAGCAGCUGAGGUUGUUAUGAGGGAACCUGUGGUUGUUGUGGGGGCAGCUGUGGUUGUUGUAAGACCAGCUGUGGUUGUUGUUGGAGCAGCUGUGGUUGUUGUUGGAGCAGCUGUGGUUGUUGUUGGAGUAGUUAUGGUUGUUGUAGGAACAGCUAAGGUAGUUGUGGGAACAGCUGUGGUUGUUGUGGGAGCAGCUGUGGUUGUUGUGGGAGCAGCUGUGGUAGUUGUGGGAGCAACUGUGGUUGUUGUGGGAGCAACUGUGGUUGUUGUGGGAGCAACUGUGGUUGUUGUGAGACCAGCGGUGGUUGUUAGGGGAGCAGCUGUGGUUGUUGUUGGAGCAGUUAUGGUUGUUAUAGCUGCAGCUGUUGUUGUCGUAGCAGCAGCUGAGGUUGUUAUUAGGGAACCUGUGGUUGUUGUGGGGGCAGCUGUGGUUGUUGUUAGAGCAGCUGUGGUUGUUGUUGGAGCAGUUGUUGUUGUUGGAGCAGCUGUGGUUGUUGUUGGACCAGCUGUGGUUGUUGUGAGAUCAGCUGUGGUUGUUGUAAGACCAGCUGUGGUUGUUGUGGGAGCAACUGUGGUUGUUGUGGGAGCAACUGUGGUUGUUGUGGGAGCAACUGUGGUUGUUGUGGGAGCAACUGUGGUUGUUGUGAGACCAGCUGUGGUUGUUGUGAGACCAGCUGUGGUUGUUGUUGGAGCAGCUGUGGUUGUUGUUGGAGCAGCUGUGGUUGUUGUUGGAGCAGCUGUGGUUGUUGUAAGAGCACCUAUGGUUGUUAUUGGAGCAGCUGUGGUUGUUGUUGGAGUAGUUAUGGUUGUUGUAGGAAUAGCUAAGGUAGUUGUGGGAGCAGCUGUGGUUGUUGUGGGAGCAGCUGUGGUUGUUGUGGGAGCAACUGUGGUUGUUGUGGGAGCAAAUGUGUUUGUUGUUAGACCAGCUGUGGUUGUUGUGGGAGCAGCUGUGGUUGUUGUGGGAGCAGUUGUGGUUGUUGUGGGAGCAGCUGUGGUUGUUGUGGGAGCAACUGUGGUUGUUAUGAGACCAGCGGUGGUUGUUAGGGGAGCAGCUGUGGUUGUUGUUGGAGCUGUUAUGGUUGUUGUAGCUGCAGCUGUUGUCGUCGUAGCAGCAGCUGAGGUUGUUAUGAAGGAACCUGUGGUUGUUGUUGGGGCAGCUGUGGUUGUUGUUAGGACAGCUGUGGUUGUUGUUAGAGCAGCUGUGGUUGUUGUUGGAGCAGCUGUGGUUGUUGUUGGAGCAGCUGUGGUUGUUGUGGGGGCAGCUGUGGUUGUUGUUAGAGCAGCUGUGGUUGUUGUUGGAGCAGCUGUGGUUGUUGUUGGAGCAGCUGUGGUUGUUGUUGGAGCAGCUGUGGUUGUUGUGAGACCAGCUGUUGUUGUUAGGGGAGCAGAUGUGGUUGUUGUUGGAGCAGUCAUGGUUGUUGUAGCUGCAGCUGUUGUUGUCGUAGCAUCAGCUGUGGUUGUUAUGAGGGAACCUGUGGUUGUUGUGGGAGAAGGUGUGACUGUUGUUAGAGCAGCUGUGGUUGUUGUGGGAGUAGCUGUGGUUGUUGUUGGAGAAGUUGUGGUUGUUGUUGUUGUUGGAGAAGUUAUAGUUGUCGUAGCAGCAGCAGUUGUUGUCGUAGCAGCAGCUGAGGUUGUUAUGAGGGAACCUGUGGUUGUUUUGGGGGCAUCUGUGGUUGUUGUUAGAGCAGCUGUGGUUGUUGUUAGAGCAGCUGUGGUUGUUGUUAGAGCAGCUGUGGUUGUUGUUAGAGCAGCUGUGGUUGUUGUUGGAGCAGCUGUGGUUGUUGUGGGAGAAGCUGUGGUUGUUGUGUGAGAAGGUGUGACUGUUAGAACAGAUAUGGUUGUUGCUGGAGAUGUUGUGGUUGUUGUCAGAGCAGUUAUGGUUGUUAUGGGAGCAGUUGUGGUUGUUUUUGGAACAUCUGGGGUUGUUGUGGGAGCAGCUGUGGUUGUUGUGGGAGCAACUGUGGUUGUUGUAUCCACAGCUGAAGUUGGUGUUGUGGCUGCUGGGAGUUGUGUUGUUUCGAUGACCUCUGUAAUUAUAAAGUGGAUUGUUAGGUAUUCUAUUGAUCAAAGGGUGUUCUAUAGGAUUUAAUUAUACCCAAUGUUUAUUAACUGUACAGUGUCUAAACAUUGUGUACAACUCUAAACAAGUUCUUACAGUCAACUAAGUUACAG